UGAAAGAUUCUGUAGAGGUGAAAAGAAGAUAUUGGCACGCGAAGGUCGAUGCGCCCAUUGUCUCACACCAGGAAAUUCUCGUUCGGGAAGCAAGCCACGUGAACCGAUUCGAGACAGAGAUAGAAAAUUGCUACGGACGGAGAGAAAGAAAACGAUGAUAAAGAGAAAAGGCCGGGAGCUCCAGAAAUGAAAAAAAAAGAAAAAACGUCGAAUCGUGUAAGAACAGCAGAAGGAAAUCCAGUAGACGAAAUGUGGAUCGAUCGAGUAUCCAGAACGGGCAUUUCCGGCUUAGAGGUUGCGACGAGCCAACGAAAGGAGGAAGUUGUGCCGGAAGUCGUAAUCAACGCGAGAAACUGCUCGCACGAUUCUCUAAAAACAAAAACAGGCCUUU